rnacentral:rRNA from 1 species
GACGAACGCUGGCGGCGUGCUUUACACAUGCAAGUCGAACGGUGAAGGUGGAGCUUGCUCCGCCGGAUCAGUGGCGAACGGGUGAGUAACACGUGGGCAACCUGCCCCUAACUUUGGGAUAACUACUCGAAAGAGUAGCCAAUACCGGAUAUGAAGUCUGUAGGCAUCUAUGGAUUUGGAAAGUUUUUCGGUUAGGGAUGGGCCCGCGGCCUAUCAGCUUGUUGGUGAGGUAGUGGCUCACCAAGGCGACGACGGGUAGCCGGCCUGAGAGGGCGACCGGCCACACUGGGACUGAGACACGGCCCAGACGCCGACGGGAGGCAGCAGUGGGGAAUAUUGCGCAAUGGGCGAAAGCCUGACGCAGCAACGCCGCGUGCGGGAUGAAGGCCUUCGGGUUGUAAACCGCUUUCAGCAGGGAAGAAGCGAAAGUGACGGUACCUGCAGAAGAAGCACCGGCUAACUACGUGCCAGCCGCCGCCGUAA